CUUUUUUUUAGUAUUUAUGCAAAAGAAAUAAAAGCAUAUGUCCUUACAAAUACUUGUACAUGAAUGUUCAAAACAACUUUAUUUCUCAGGCCCCAAACUGGAAACAACCUAAUGUCUAUUGUCAUGAAGGUGAAUAUAGUCAUAUAAUAAAAUAAGACUCAGCCAUAAAAAUAUACUAUUGAUAGAUAAAACAUAUAGGAAUCUCAAACUAUGCUAGUUGAAAGAAGUCAGACAAAAAGUGCAUAGUGUAUGGUGACAUUUAUAUAAAAUCUCAGACACAACAAACCAAUCAUAGUGACAAAAAGCAUAGGUGCAGUUUCCUAGAAUUGAAGGUGGUAAAGAGGGCAAGAAGGGGUGGGAUUAAGGAAUUAUAAAAUAGUUUGAGGAAAUUUUUCGGGGUAAUCUAUAUGUUAAUUUUCCUUAAUGUGGUGACAACUAUAUGUAAAUGUGCAGAUAUAUUCAAAUGUAUCCGUGGUAGACAGAAUUCUAAAGUGACCUCCAAAAUUCGCAGUCCGUGGUGUAUAUACCUUCUCUCAGUUAGUCUAUCAAUCAUGAAUGUAGGUGUUGCUAAUACAUUCCAGGCUUGUUAUGUAUUUUACUCACAAACUUAUAGAUACAUAAUUAUCACAUCAAUAAAGAUACAAAUCACAAGAAACAAAUAUUUAACAUCUUAGUAUUUAUAGGUCAAUGUUUCUUAAAGGUCAGCAUUGUUUUGUAUUUUAUCAUUUCUGUAUAUUUGAUUUUUUUCUUUAGAUAAUGAAUAUCACUUUGGAAUAAAACAGCAAAUGAAAUGUAAGUUACCCCAGGGUUCUAAUCUCUCAGGUCAUCUCUCCAAUGACUUUACAUCACAGCAAUAGUCCUAACUCUCUAUAUUCUUCACCCUCUUUAAUGAAUCCUCAUUUAUUUUUAGCCAUUAUGGCCUUCUUGCUUUUAGUUCAAAAUCUGUGUAAUGCAUAAGAUUCCCUCUUGGCCUCCAUUUUUUUUUUUUUUUUUGCUUAUUAUAUUCUUUUUCCAUGUACAUACAUGUAUCACGUUUUCUCACUUUCUUUAGGUCUCUGCUCAAAUGUCACCUUAUAAAUGGUUUUCUCCUAGGCCUCAUUAAAAUAGCAGCUCCCUACUUGGCAUGCCCUAUUCCCCUCACCUUCAUUUUCUUUUGCUUAUACCAUUUAUUAUGCCCUUUUAAAAAUCAUUUAUUUAGUUAGACUAAGUCUACUAAAGGAAGGAAUUUAUCUGUUUUAAUUUCUCUAAUGUUUCCAACACCUAGGCAGUGCUAGGCAUAUUUUGAGUUCUUGAUAAAUAUCUAUUGAAAUUGCAUGGAGAAAGGAAAAUAAUGAAGAUCAUAUAUUUAUGUAUGUUUUCUUCCUAAAACUGAAUGCCUUAAUAAUCAAUAUUCAUUUUCAGAUAGUUAAAGUAAAGCAAAAUAUUUUAAUCUUGACAUGUAAAUCACUUAAGCAGUACUUAGUAUAUAUUCAGUGUCCAGUAAAUUUACAUUUUUUUGUUUUUCUUAAUCUUCCUUUCAUGCGCGUAU
rnacentral:lncRNA from 10 species